AUGAACGCUGGCGGCGUGCUUAACACAUGCAAGUCGAACGAAGCACUUAUGAUUGAGAUUUCGGUUGAUUGAUUAAGUGACUUAGCGGCGGACGGUGAGUAACGCGUGAGCAACCUUUCUCUCAGUGGGGGAAUAACACAGGGAAACUUGUACUAAUACCGCAUGAGACCACACUACCGCAUGGUAGAGGGGUCAAAGAUUAAUCGCUGAGAGGUGGGCUCGCGUCUGAUUAGAUAGUAGGCGGGGUAACGGCCCACCUAGUCUACGAUGUCUAGGGGUUCUGAGAGGAAGGUCCCCCACACUGGAACUGAGACACGGUCCAGACUCCUACGGGAGGCAGCAGUGAGGAAUAUUGGUCAAUGGUCGAGAGACUGAACCAGCCAAGUAGCGUGCAGGAUGACGGCCCUCUGGGUUGUAAACUGUCUUUUAGUUGGGAAUAAAGGGAGUACGUGUACUCUGUAUUGUAUGUACCAUCAGAAAAGGACCGGCUAAUUCCGUG
rnacentral:rRNA from 1 species